GACGAACGCUGGCGGCGUGCCUAAUACAUGCAAGUCGAACGCUGAAGGAGGAGCUUGCUUCUCUGGAUGAGUUGCGAACGGGUGAGUAACGCGUAGGUAACCUGCCUGGUAGCGGGGGAUAACUAUUGGAAACGAUAGCUAAUACCGCAUAAUAGCAGUUGUUGCAUGACAACUGUUUGAAAGGUGCAAUUGCACCACUACCAGAUGGACCUGCGUUGUAUUAGCUAGUUGGUGGGGUAACGGCUCACCAAGGCGACGAUACAUAGCCGCCCUGAGAGGGGGAUCGGCCACACUGGGACUGAGACACGGCCCAGACUCCUACGGGAGGCAGCAGUAGGGAAUCUUCGGCAAUGGACGGAAGUCUGACCGAGCAACGCCGCGUGAGUGAAGAAGGUUUUCGGAUCGUAAAGCUCUGUUGUAAGAGAAGAACGAGUGUGAGAGUGGAAAGUUCACACUGUGACGGUAUCUUACCAGAAAGGGACGGCUAACUACGUG
rnacentral:rRNA from 1 species